rnacentral:rRNA from 2 species
GUUAUAUGGUCAAGCGAAUAAGCGCACACGGUGGAUGCCUAGGCGGUCAGAGGCGAUGAAGGACGUGGUAGCCUGCGAAAAGUGUCGGGGAGCUGGCAACAAGCUUUGAUCCGGCAAUAUCCGAAUGGGGAAACCCACUGCUUCGGCAGUAUCCUGCAGUGAAUUCAUAGCUGCUGGAAGCGAACCCGGUGAACUGAAAUAUCUAAGUAACCGGAGGAAAAGAAAUCAACCGAGAUUCCCUAAGUAGUGACGAGCGAACGGGGAGCAGCCCUUAAGCUGGAAUGGCUUUAGAAAAACAAUCUGGAAAGAUUGGCCAUAGAAGGUGAUAGCCCUGUAUUUAAAAGGGCCACUCCAGUGAAGACGAGUAGGGCGGGGCACGUGAAACCCUGUCUGAAUAUGGGGGGACCAUCCUCCAAGGCUAAAUACUCCUGACCGACCGAUAGUGAACCAGUACCGUGAGGGAAAGGCGAAAAGAACCCCGGAGAGGGGAGUGAAAUAGAUCCUGAAACCGUGUGCGUACAAGCAGUAGGAGCUCGCAAGAGUGACUGCGUACCUUUUGUAUAAUGGGUCAGCGACUUACUGUUCGUGGCAAGCUUAACCGUAUAGGGGAGGCGAAGGGAAACCGAGUCUGAUAAGGGCGCAUAGUCGCGGGCAGUAGACCCGAAACCGGGUGAUCUAGUCAUGGCCAGGGUGAAGGUGCCGUAACAGGUACUGGAGGCCCGAACCCACGUCUGUUGCAAAAGACGGGGAUGAGCUGUGAUUAGGAGUGAAAAGCUAAUCGAACCCGGAGAUAGCUGGUUCUCCUCGAAAGCUAUUUAGGUAGCGCCUCGGACGAAUACUACUGGGGGUAGAGCACUGUUAUGGCUAGGGGGUCAUCGCGACUUACCAAACCAUUGCAAACUCCGAAUACCAGUACGUACUAUCCGGGAGACACACGGCGGGUGCUAACGUCCGUCGUGAAAAGGGAAACAACCCAGACCCACAGCUAAGGUCCCAAAUUCACUGCUAAGUGGAAAACGAUGUGGAAAGGCAUAGACAGCCAGGAGGUUGGCUUAGAAGCAGCCACCCUUUAAAGAAAGCGUAAUAGCUCACUGGUCGAGUCGGUCUGCGCGGAAGAUUUAACGGGGCUAAGCAGUGAACCGAAGCUUGGGGUGCAUAAAACUUGUUUUAUGCGCGGUAGAGGAGCGUUCCGUAAGCCUGCGAAGGUGGAUUGAGAAGUCUGCUGGAGGUAUCGGAAGUGCGAAUGCUGACAUGAGUAACGAUAAUGCGGGUGAAAAGCCCGCACGCCGAAAGCCCAAGGUUUCCUUGCGCAACGUUAAUCGACGCAGGGUUAGUCGGUCCCUAAGGCGAGGGCGAAAGCCGUAGUCGAUGGGAAGCAGGUUAAUAUUCCUGCACCUCGCGUGAGUGCGAUGGAGGGACGGAGAAGGUUAGGUGUACCGGGCGUUGGUUGUCCCGGGGAAAGGCGGUAGGUUUGGAUCUUUGGCAAAUCCGGGAUCCUUUAAGACCGAGCACCGAGACGAGCCUUUAUGGCGAAGUCACUGAUACCACGCUUCCAGGAAAAGCUCCUAAGCUUCAGCUCACGAAGACCGUACCGUAAACCGACACAGGUGGGUAGGAUGAGAAUUCUCAGGCGCUUGAGAGAACUCGGGUGAAGGAACUAGGCAACAUGGCACCGUAACUUCGGGAGAAGGUGCACCCUUUUUGGUGGCUCAUGCGAGCUAUAGCUGAAGAGGGUCGCAGAAACCAGGCCGCUGCGACUGUUUAUCAAAAACACAGCACUCUGCAAACACGAAAGUGGACGUAUAGGGUGUGACGCCUGCCCGGUGCUGGAAGGUUAAUUGAUGGGGUCAGCCGCAAGGCGAAGCUCUUGAUCGAAGCCCCAGUAAACGGCGGCCGUAACUAUAACGGUCCUAAGGUAGCGAAAUUCCUUGUCGGGUAAGUUCCGACCUGCACGAAUGGCGUAACGACAGCGGCGCUGUCUCCACCCGAGACUCAGUGAAAUUGAAAUCGCUGUGAAGAUGCAGCGUUCCCGUGGCAAGACGGAAAGACCCCGUGAACCUUUACUAUAGCUUUACACUGAACGUUGAGUUCGUCUGUGUAGGAUAGGUGGGAGGCUAUGAAACUGUGGCGCUAGCUGCAGUGGAGCCAUCCUUGAAAUACCACCCUGUCGUGCUUGACGUUCUAACCUAGGUCCGUUAUCCGGAUCAGGGACCGUGUAUGGUGGGUAGUUUGACUGGGGCGGUCUCCUCCUAAAGAGUAACGGAGGAGCACGAAGGUACGCUCAGCGCGGUCGGACAUCGCGCACUGUGUGCAAAGGCAUAAGCGUGCUUGACUGCAAGAUCGACGGAUCAAGCAGGUACGAAAGUAGGUCUUAGUGAUCCGGUGGUUCUGUAUGGAAGGGCCAUCGCUCAACGGAUAAAAGGUACUCCGGGGAUAACAGGCUGAUACCGCCCAAGAGUUCAUAUCGACGGCGGUGUUUGGCACCUCGAUGUCGGCUCAUCACAUCCUGGGGCUGUAGUCGGUCCCAAGGGUAUGGCUGUUCGCCAUUUAAAGUGGUACGCGAGCUGGGUUCAGAACGUCGUGAGACAGUUCGGUCCCUAUCUGCCAUGGGCGUUGGAAGUUUGAGAGGGGCUGCUCCUAGUACGAGAGGACCGGAGUGGACGAACCUCUGGUGUUCCGGUUGUCACGCCAGUGGCAUUGCCGGGUAGCUAUGUUCGGAAGCGAUAACCGCUGAAAGCAUCUAAGCGGGAAGCGCGCCUCAAGAUGAGACUUCCCGGGGCACAAGCCCCCUAAAGGAACCAUAUAGACUAUGUGGUUGAUAGGUCAGGUGUGUAAGUACAGCAAUGUAUUGAGCUAACUGAUACUAAUGAUCCGUGCGGCUUGACCAUAUAACCU